CGCAGUCAAGAAGCUAGCUGGCUACAAAGGGAGGUGCUAUGUUGCUGCUAGCUUGCAAAAAGAAAAAUGGGACGGGUCCACCCGACAGACAAACGAAGGUGUGGUACCGAGCCGAGCCGAGCCGAGCCGCAUCUCUGCCCGCGCUUCGGUCACAGCCAUUUUGAAACCUUUUAGUCACAAUUGGCGGCACGAAACGUUAAAAUGUAGCCUCCGGUUAACGGCAGAGGAUGCCGGGCUCCGGUGGGCGGCUAACGGUGACAGAGCGACGCCUUUACCUGGAACUGCUCUUCGAGCCGGGCUCCAUCCCCUGCCCGGUGCUGGUUCCCCGAAAUCAACCUGUCUGUCUGUCUCCGGUCGGAGGGGAGCCGAGCGGGGCCGAGGAGAGCCGAGGGGAGCCGAGCGGAGCCUAAUGGAGCCGAGGAGAGCCGAGCGGGGCCGAGGGGAGCCGAGCGGGGCCGAGCGGAGCCUAAUGGAGCCGAGGAGAGCCGAGCGGAGCCGAGGGGAGCCGAGGGUCAAAAGGGCGGCAACGAGGCGCUGCCGCACUUUCGGGCGAAUUUCCAAAAUAAAACGUUAACUUCA